GCUCAUCGUCCUGCCACCCAAGUAAAAAGAGAAAUAACUACAGGCCUCUGUAACUGCUGUUUCCAGGUCAUUGUCACAAGUCACAAGUGGCUCCAGUCUGGUUUGGGGGUCUACCCUAGCUCAUCCUGUCCUGCCACCCACACAAAAAGAGAAAUAACUACAGGCCUCUGCAACUGCUGUCUCUAGGAGCGGUACGCAAGUGUCCAGUGACAGCCCAGGCAACGGAUACCGACAUUCACCAAUGUGCUGGCGCAUGACCGAGAAGGGGGGACGUCGCAAACGCCAGUGUGAAGGAGCAAGCUAGAUUCAUUGAUGAUCAUCAU